rnacentral:rRNA from 1 species
AGUUUGAUCCGGUUCAGAUUGAACGCUGGCGGUGGAUGCUUUACACAUGCAAGUCGAACGGCAGCACGGACUUCGGUCUGGUGGCGAGUGGCGAACGGGUGAGAAGGCAUCGGAACGUGCCUAGUAGCGGGGGAUAACUACGCGAAAGCGCAGCUAACAGUCGCCACACGCCCUUCGUGGAAAAGCGGGGACCUUCGGCCUGUGCACCAUUAGAGCGCCGAUAUCGGAUUAGCUAAAGCUGCGGGGUAACGGCUCACCAAGGCGACGAUCCGCAGCUAGUUUGAGGCAGGACGACCAGCCACACUGGGAUCUGAGAUACGCCCAGACUCUACGGGAGGCAGUGGGGAAUUUUGGACAAUGGGGGAAACCCUGAUCCAGCCAUCUCGCGUGUGCGAUGAAGGCCUUCGGGUUGUGGCAAAGCACUUUUGGCAGGAAAGAAACGGCACGGCUGGGCAUUCCCGUGCAACUGACGGCACCUGCAGACAAGCACCAGUUACCCAUGCCAGCAGCCGCGGUAAUACGUAGGUGCAAGCGCGUUAACGGAAUUACCGGGCGUAAAGCGUGCGCAGGCGGUUCGGAAAGAAAGAUGUGAAAUCCCAGAGCUUAACUUUGGAACUGCAUUUUUAACUAAUGAGCCAGAGUGUGUCAGAGGAGGUGAAUUCCGUGUGUAGCAGGAAAUGCGUAGAUAUGCGGAGGAACACCGAUGGCGAAGGCAGCCUCUGGGAUAACACUGACGCUCAUGCACGAAAGCAAGCAAACAGAUUAUUACUCCUGGUAGUCCACGCCCUAAACGAUGUCAACUAGCUGUUGGGGCUUCGGGCCUUGGUAGCGCAGCUAACGCGUGAAGUUGACCGCCUGGGGAGCACGGUCGCAAGAUUGGAAAACCCAAAGUGAAUUGACGGGGACCCGCACAAGCGGUGGAUGAUGUGGAUUAAUUCGAUGCAACGCGAAAAAACCUACUCACCUUGACAUGUCUGGAAUCCCGAAGAGAUUUGGGAGAGUGCUCAAAGAGAAUCCAACACAGGUGCUGCAUGGCUGUCACAGCUCGUGUCGAGAUGCUGGGUUAAGUCCCGCAACGAGCGCAACCUCGUCGGGCCAGUUGCCGAAAGGGCACCUCUAUCGAGACUGCUGGUGACAAACCGGAGGGUAUGGGACGACGUCAAGUCCUCAUGGCCCUUAUGGGUAGGGCUUCACACGUCAUACAAUGGCCGGGACAGAGGGUCGCCAACCCGCGAGGGUGAGCCAAUCCCAGAAACCUGAUCGUAGUCCGGAUCGCGUCUGCAACCUGACUGCGGAAGUCGGAAUCGCUAGUAAUCGCGGAUCAGCAUGUCGCGGUGAAUACGUUCCCGGGUCUUGCACACACCUCGCCCGUCACACCAUGGGAGUGGGUUUUACCAGAAGUAGUUAGCUCAACUGUAAGGAGGGAAGCAUUACCACGGUAGGAUUCAUGGACGGGUGAAGUCGUAACAAGGUAG